rnacentral:rRNA from 1 species
GCCAGCAGCCAUUUCACCCUGCAACUCACACCUGGCAAACCCACUGAAGCUUAGCAGGUGUGAGCCUGGCCAGUACCUGGAUGGGAGACCUCCCGGGAAAAACUACAGUUGCUGCUGGAA